rnacentral:rRNA from 1 species
GAACCGUACAAACGUUAUUCGGAAUCACUGGGCUUAAAGGGUGCGUAGGCGGGUUCGGGAAAGUUGGGUGUGAAAGCCCUCGGCUCAACCGAGGAAUUGCGCUCAAAACUUCCCGAACUAGAGGAAGGUAGAGGUAAGCGGAACUUAGGGUGGAGCGGUGAAAUGCGUUGAUAUCCUAAGGAACACCAGUUGCGAAGGCGGCUUACUGGACCUUUUCUGACGCUGAGGCACGAAAGCUAGGGGAGCGAACGGGAUUAGAUACCCCGGUAGUCCUAGCUGUAAACGAUGAGCACUGGGUUGGAGGCCCCCUCAUAGGCUUCCUGCCGUAGCGAAAGUGUUAAGUGCUCCGCCUGGGGAGUAUGGUCGCAAGGCUG